ACUGAGACAAGGGCCCAGGCCCUACGGGGCGCAGCAGUCGCGAAAACUUUGCAAUACACGAAAGUGUGACAGGGCUAUCCCGAGUGCCAUCCGCUGAGGAAGGCUUUUACCCAGUCUAGAAAGCUGGGGGAAUAAGGAGAGGGCAAGUCUGGUGUCAGCCGCCGCGGUAAUACCAGCUCUCCGAGUGGUGUGGAUGUUUAUUGGCCUAAAGCAUCCGUAGCUGGCUAAGUUAGUCCCUUGUUAAAUCCACCGAAUUAAUCGUUGAUUGCGGGGGAUACUGCUUAGCUAGGGGACGAGAGAGGCAGACGGUAUUUCCGGGGUAGGGGUGAAAUCCUAUAAUCCCGGGAAGACCACCAGUGGCGAAGGCUGUCUGCUAGAACGCGC
rnacentral:rRNA from 1 species